UACGAAGGGGGCUAGCGUUGCUCGGAAUCACUGGGCGUAAAGCGCACGUAGGCGGCUUGUUAAGUCAGGGGUGAAAUCCUGGAGCUCAACUCCAGAACUGCCUUUGAUACUGGCGAGCUUGAGUUCGGGAGAGGUGAGUGGAACUGCGAGUGUAGAGGUGAAAUUCGUAGAUAUUCGCAAGAACACCAGUGGCGAAGGCGGCUCACUGGCCCGAUACUGACGCUGAGGUGCGAAAGCGUGGGGAGCAAAGCAGG
rnacentral:rRNA from 1 species